UGAAAAAUGACAUAAGUGGCUAAAAAUGGACGAAAAGUAAGGCUAUAGCCUUAACUUUUCGUCCAUUUUUAGCCACUUAUGUCAUUUUCA